rnacentral:rRNA from 1 species
UCCACGCCGUAAACGUUGGAUACUAGCUGUUGGGGAGAGAUUCUCAGUGGCUAAGCGAAAGUGAUAAGUAUCCCACCUGGGGAGUACGUUCGCAAGAAUGAAACUCAAAGGAAUUGACGGGGGCCCGCACAAGCGGUGGAGCAUGUGGUUUAAUUCGAUGAUACGCGAGGAACCUUACCAGGGCUUAAAUGUAGAUUGACAGAUUUGGAAACAUAUCUUUCUUCGGACAAUUUACAAGGUGCUGCAUGGUUGU